rnacentral:rRNA from 1 species
CCUACGGGAGGCAGCAGUGGGGAAUAUUGCGCAAUGGACGAAAGUCUGACGCAGCGACGCCGCGUGUGGGAUGACGGUCUUCGGAUUGUAAACCACUGUCGGGAGGGACGAAUACGCCGCAAGGCGGGUGACGGUACCUCCAAAGGAAGCACCGGCUAACUCCGUGCCGGCAGCCGCGGUAAUACGGAGGGUGCGAGCGUUGUCCGGAAUCACUGGGCGUAAAGGGCGCGUAGGCGGCCUGAUAAGUAGGGGGUGAAAUCUUGCGGCUUAACCGCAAGGCUGCCUUCUAAACUGUCAGGCUUGAGCACAGUAGAGGCAGGUGGAAUUCCCGGUGUAGCGGUGGAAUGCGUAGAGAUCGGGAAGAACAUCAGUGGCGAAGGCGGCCUGCUGGGCUGUUGCUGACGCUGAGGCGCGACAGCGUGGGGAGCAAACAGGAUUAGAUACCCUGGUAGUCCACGCCGUAAACGAUGGGCACUAGGCGUCGGGGGGAGCGACCCUCCCGGUGCCGUCGCUAACGCAGUAAGUGCCCCGCCUGGGGAAUACGGCCGCAAGGCUGAAACUCAAAGGAAUUGACGGA